GACUGCGUGGUUGUAGGCUGGGUGAGGAUCCAAGAGCUGGUCUACUGGCAGGAUGUGCCUCAACGAUAUGAUUACAAUAGUUGUGAUUCCAAGAGUUUGUAGUAAGAUUACUACGGGAGGUUCUUUUACAGAGGCUGCCCGACGGCCGACGACAACGACGCGGAGAGCAAGCAAGACACGGUCGCCUCGCCGGAGAUGAUUCUUCAUUACGGAGGACAGAUCUGGCGGGGGGAAUCAAAUAACUAUAGUAUUUCUGAAAUUUUCUGAGUCCCCGUUUGUUGCAUCAAAAGGGUCUUCUGUCAAAAGCAGGUAAAAAUCUUCUGAAGAAAGGUGUCUUCACGCCCUGAUUUAAUUUCUUGAAUGGUGGAUGUAUAUUGCGACUACAUCAUGGUGAUAUGCAAAAGCCUCCAUGGAAGGACAACAACUUCUAAAACGUGCUAUUAUGCGCCCUACCCCCUUGGACAAAAUUUCUUUCCAUUUCCAUGGAUUCACAUCCAUCCAUGUACUGCCUCGGUCUUGUUUUUUAUCUGGCAGUGUGAAAUUCAAUCUCACAUUUGUUGACAUGUUAGUUUUCUUAUUCCAGAUAUAGUUUGCACUGUCUAGGUGGUAAGUUACUUCUGAGAUCAUGUCCAGGUAGUAAUGCUCUUCCUUCCCCAUUCUGUUCUGUAAGUAAAUAUUGAUGUGAGUGUUCUUCAUGGGGUGGUAUAUAUGUUGCUUGUUCGUUUGGUUUUGUUUAAGCUCUCUAUAUUGAGUUCAUCCAUAGUGCUAACAGUAUGAGCUUUUAAAAGUUCUUAUGUUGAGAUGGUUAUCUGUAUACGUUGGCUUGAAUCUGUUAACCUUUUGAGGCAACACUUCCAGUUAGGAAGUCAGUAUGUUGGGAUUAAAAGAAUCUAGUAAAACGAAUUAACAUGUGUAUUGAUCUAGUUGUCAGUGCUGAGUUGUUUAUUACAAUUGAGAAAAACGUUUAAUGUGUGCUGGUUUGGUUGCUUACGUUCUUCCAUUUUUUUUAUUAGUAUCAUUUUUUGCUCCAACUAAGUUGUUUUGUAUGAGCGGUACAAAAAAGAUGGUCCUUUGUUGUUCCAUUGCUGAGUGAAAGUAUUGUUUGCAUGUGUGAACUAACUGGACAUUUUUACAUAGCUUUGAGUUUCUUCCUGUCAUAACUUGUAUCGUUUUGAUUCAGUGAAAUUUUGUAUUAUGCACUCAAAAGUUUCAAACACAUUUAAUUUUAAAUGAUUUUACCAUUUGAUAUGAUGCUAAUGUAUUCAUCUUGUAAUAUCGUUGCAUGUACAUUACGCAUAUGAGGUACAUGGAUGACUAGCUGCUUCCAAGGAUAGAUACAAAGGUGUAGCCAUCUUGAAGUUCCUCAAUCCAGAAUUGGCUACUCAAAAGAAUUGGAAACUCGAAGACGGACGAUGCUAUGGUUUCUCAAUUUGCUGUUACAUGUGAACAAUUUAAUUUUAUGUUUUUUAAUGUGUUCCAUUGAAGCGAUAGUGGUUGUAUUGGUCGUAUAGUACCAACACUUGUUGGAUUUGUAGUGGAGUUGAAAGCUAAACUAUUUUAUGUGAUGCAUGUUUGUAAAGUAUCUUCCAUGAUGUGCUGAAAUGAAUGGAACUAUUUAUCAUAA